rnacentral:rRNA from 1 species
AGUGAGCGUUGGCGGCGUGGAUUAGGCAUGCAAGUCGAGCGAGAACCGUAGCAAUACGGGGACAGCGGCGAAAGGGACAGUAAUGUGUAGGUACCUACCUCCGGGUUCGGGAUAGCUGCGGGAAACUGCAGGUAAUACCGAAUAACGUCUCCGGACCAAAGGUGUGAUUCCACCUGGAGAGGGGCCUGCAUCCUAUUAGCUUGUUGGCGGGGUAACGGCCCACCAAGGCGACGAUGGGUAGCGGGUGUGAGAGCACGACCCGCGUCAUUGGGACUGAGACACUGCCUAGACACCUACGGGUGGCUGCAGUCGAGGAUCUUCGGCAAUGGGCGCAAGCCUGACCGAGCGACGCCGCGUGCGGGAUGAAGGCCUUCGGGUUGUAAACCGCUGUCGUAGAGGAGGAAGUGCAGGGGGGUUCUCCCCUCUGUUUGACCUAUUCUAGGAGGAAGGACGGGCUAAGUUCGUGCCAGCCGCCGCCAUAA